GACGAACGCUGGCGGCGUGCCUAAUACAUGCAAGUUGAGCGCUGAAGGUUGGUACUUGUACCAACUGGAUGAGCAGCGAACGGGUGAGUAACGCGUGGGGAAUCUGCCUUUGAGCGGGGGACAACAUUUGGAAACGAAUGCUAAUACCGCAUAAAAACUUUAAACACAAGUUUUAAGUUUGGAAGAUGCAAUUGCAUCACUCAAAGAUGAUCCCGCGUUGUAUUAGCUAGUUGGUGAGGUAAAGGCUCACCAAGGCGAUGAUACAUAGCCGACCUGAGAGGGUGAUCGGCCACAUUGGGACUGAGACAAGGCCCAAACUCCUACGGGAGGCAGCAGGAGGGGAUCUUCGGCAAUGGACGAAAGUCUGACCGAGCAACGCCGCGUGAGUGAAGAAGGUUUUCGGAUCGUAAAACUCUGUUGGUAGAGAAGAACGUUGGUGAGAGUGGAAAGCUCAUCAAGUGACGGUAACUACCCAGAAAGGGACGGCUAACUACGUG
rnacentral:rRNA from 1 species